CUAGAAGACCUCCAAGGUCCCUUCCAAACUUUAUUAUGAUUGAUUGAGAUGGUGGGAAAAUUGUACCUUCGGGUUUGCAACAUUCCCUUAAUGUAGCUUUACAAUAAAGUAGACUGAGCGUAUCUGGCUUUUGUUUCCUGUCUGAUCCACCUUGGGAAGGAAGACAGAGUAAAACAAGGACGUUUUUAAAAAUAAAAACAAAAGUUAUUGUCUAUCUUCCUAUUUUAGCACGGAUGUUCCCAGCUGCCUGCCUCUUCCAACAGAAGUCACCCCUUCCGAAGAGCCACACCCAGCUCAAGAGACCACCAACACCAAUGGUUGUGGUCGGCAGAAGCACAGCUUGGAAGCCACGACACACAAAUCAUGCAGUCCGUCUUGGGAUGCUGAAUCUCCCCCACCUCCCUCCAAGGGAAAGAAAAAGAAGAAAAAAUCAACAAGAAAGAAAAGGAGGAGAUCUCCAUCCUACAGUAUUUCUCCUCCAAAGAAGAAGAAGAAAAAGAAGAACUCAAAGAAAAGAAAAAGAAACAGGAUUUCUUCAAAGAAGAAAAGUCACAGUUCUUCCAGCCCCAAGAGAAAAAGGAAGGAGGGAAGAAAACACAAGAAGCACUAUCGUAGUCAUCCACAAAAAUCCAGGCGCCGUCAUUGCCAUUCUAAUUCGGACAGCAGCACCAAUUCUCCAUCGGAGAGUUAUGGAAGCCGGCAUAGGCUGAGAAGCAGAUUCCAAGACGAAAGCCAUAAAGGUAGACCCAGCCGUUCAAGGCACUCAUCGAA
rnacentral:lncRNA from 1 species